UACGUAGGGUGCAAGCGUUGUCCGGAAUUAUUGGGCGUAAAGAGCUCGUAGGCGGUUUGUCGCGUCUGCUGUGAAAACCCGAGGCUCAACCUCGGGCCUGCAGUGGGUACGGGCAGACUAGAGUGCGGUAGGGGAGAUUGGAAUUCCUGGUGUAGCGGUGGAAUGCGCAGAUAUCUGGAGGAACACCGGUGGCGAAGGCGGCGUUCUGGACUGCAACUGACACUGAGGAACGAAAGCCAGGGGAGCAAACGGG
rnacentral:rRNA from 1 species